ACGUAGGUGGCGAGCGUUAUCCGGAAUUAUUGGGCGUAAAGAGGGAGCAGGCGGCACUAAGGGUCUGUGGUGAAAGAUCGAAGCUUAACUUCGGUAAGCCAUGGAAACCGUAGAGCUAGAGUGUGUGAGAGGAUCGUGGAAUUCCAUGUGUAGCGGUGAAAUGCGUAGAUAUAUGGAGGAACACCAGUGGCGAAGGCGACGAUCUGGUGCAUAACUGACGCUCAGUCCCGAAAGCGUGGGGAGCAAAUAG
rnacentral:rRNA from 1 species